CGCGGCCUAUCAGCUUGUUGGUGGGGUGAUGGCCUACCAAGGCGACGACGGGUAGCCGGCCUGAGAGGGCGACCGGCCACACUGGGAUUGAGACACGGCCCAGACUCCUACGGGAGGCAGCAGUGGGGAAUAUUGCGCAAUGGGCGGAAGCCUGACGCAGCGACGCCGCGUGGGGGAUGACGGCCUUCGGGUUGUAAACCUCUUUCGACCGGGACGAAGGGUGACUGACGGUACCGGUAGAAGAAGCACCGGCCAACUACGUGCCAGCAGCCGCGGUAAUACGUAGGGUGCGAGCGUUGUCCGGAAUUAUUGGGCGUAAAGAGCUCGUAGGCGGUGUGUCGCGUCGGUCGUGAAAACUUGGGGCUCAACCCCGAGCUUGCGGUCGAUACGGGCAUCACUGGAGUUCGGCAGGGGAGACUGGAAUUCCUGGUGUAGCGGUGAAAUGCGCAGAUAUCAGGAGGAACACCGGUGGCGAAGGCGGGUCUCUGGGCCGAUACUGACGCUGAGGAGCGAAAGCGUGGGGAGCGAACAGGAUUAGAUACCCUGGUAGUCCACGCCGUAAACGGUGGGCGCUAGGUGUGGGGGCCAUUCCACGGUCUCUGUGCCGCAGCUAACGCAUUAAGCGCCCCGCCUGGGGAGUACGG
rnacentral:rRNA from 1 species